UGCCCUUUCGCCUCUUGCCUGCACUGUUGCCGUUUGUGUUAUUCUCCCGCUGACAUCUGCUCUGUCCCACCCCCCUGACAGACUGUUCCUCUGCAUGCCAGUGGCUGCAGUUCCCAAUUUAGACGGAGGAGAGCUCCUGAAGUGAGCACUGUUGGAGUAUGUUUAAAGACGGGCUGCUUGGAUUUGGGGAUUUCUGAAGCGUCGAGGAUCAGACGGGCCAUUAUGGAUCCCCUCUCCCAGGUCCCCUUUGUUGAUAAUGGCCUUGUGAUGAAAGAUAAAAUGGAAGAUGUACGCCUCAGGAUUCACCAUGCAUGUGCAGCGCUGGACCCAGAUUUUGACGUCUAUAUGAAAUUUAUGAUGAGUCACUGUUGUUAUGAUGCCAUUCCAACUAGCUCCAAAUUGGUAAUAUUUGACACUACCCUGCAGGUGAAGAAGGCUUUCUUUGCUUUGGUGGCCAAUGGGGUGAGGGCAGCUCCUCUUUGGGAUAACAAGAUUCAACGUUUUGUAGGAAUGCUAACAAUCACUGAUUUCAUCAAUAUUCUUCACAGAUACUACAAAUCGCCCAUGGUACAGAUUUAUGAACUUGAAGAACACAAAAUUGAGACAUGGAGAGAGGUUUACUUACAAUACUCCUUAAAUUCCUUGAUCAGCAUUACGCCCUAUUGCAGCUUGUUCGAUGCUAUAUACUCUUUACUGAAAAACAAGAUUCAUCGAUUGCCAGUGAUUGAUCCAGAGUCAGGGAAUGUUCUCCACAUCCUCACACACAAGCGCAUCCUUAAGUUCCUACACAUUUUCGGUUCAAUGAUUCCUAAGCCUCGUUUUCUACAAAAGACCAUUAAGGAGGUGGGAAUUGGGACAUUUAAGAAAAUUGCGACCGUACAUGAGAACGCUACAGUUUAUCAAGCGCUGUCAAUCUUUGUAGAGAGACGGGUCUCAGCUCUCCCGGUUGUGAAUGAUGAAGGGAAAGUUGUGGGACUCUACUCCCGGUUCGAUGUGAUUAAUCUAGCUGCUCUGAAGACCUACAACAACCUAGACAUGAGGGUGAAGGAGGCUCUGCAGGCUCGCUCACACUGCUUUGAAGGCGUGCUCAAAUGCUACCCAUACGAGACCCUGGAAACUAUCAUCGAUCGCAUUGCCAAAGCUGAGGUUCACCGGCUGGUUCUCGUGGAUGAUGACGACGUGGUCAGAGGGAUCGUCUCUCUCUCCGACCUGCUCCAGGCCCUGGUUCUGAGUCCCGCAGGUAUAGACGCCCUUUUCUCUUAACUCCUUGGGGUUGUCCAUCCAACUUCAUCUUACAACAUUUGCCAUUGAAGAGAUCGCUUGUUGCACAUCCAGCUGCAGCCGCUGAAGUCCGGGAACGAUUAAGACGAAGAAAGAUUUUUUUGCUUUUCAAAAUGGACUUGUUGAAGUUGCUGACGGAGGGCUUGUUCGUGGAGUACUAAGGACAGGUUUGAGAGUUAGUCUCACAUGCUUUGGCUCAAAGGCGAAUGGCUCAUGGGGACUUUUGGACUGAUGCAGUUUUUAACUCUGAUGCAGUUUUUUUUUUAACUUCAUACAUCUGUACAUAGAAUUUUGUAUUGGAUGUUGGGCUUAGAAUAUAGACAGCCAUAACUCCAUGAAGGAAAGGGACAAAAUAAAUCGCUUUACAUAAA